CGGAGGAAAAGAAACUAACAAGGAUUCCCUCAGUAGCGGCGAGCGAAGCGGGAAAAGCCCAAUAUGAAAAGCCUGCUUGCAGGCGUUGUAUUUUGGAAGUCUCUGGGGUGUCAGUGGGCGUAAGUUGUAUGGAAAUACACACCGUGGAGGGUGAGAGUCCCGUCCAACGCCCACAGGACACUUCGUACGAGGCUUUCCUAACGAGUCGGGUAGCUUGGGAAUGCUGCUCUAAUUGGUGGUAAAUCUCAUCAAAGGCUAAAUAUUGACCGGAGACCGAUAGUGAACAAGUACCGUGAGGGAAAGAUGAAAAGCACUUUGAAAAGAGGGUGAAAAGAGCCUGAAACCGUCAUGGGGGAAGCGGAUUGCGUUGAAUUGGGGAGUUGCUGUGUGUUCAGCCCGGGCUUUUGUCCGGGUGUAUUGACGCAGUGACCGACCUGUCGUGGGUUUCGGGCCGUUGAUUUUGAACGGCCUGGGGCUGAGGGCUCCCUUUUAGGUGAGGACGACAGGGCGACGACGCGAUACGACCCGUCUUGAAACACGGACCAAGGAGUCUAGCGCGGUUGCGAGUCGAAGGGUGCAAGCCUGAAGGCGAAGUGAAAGCGAGUGUAAAACGAGCAGUUUGGGGCGGCAUGGAAUCGUUGAUUUCAAGUCUGACCUUGAGCAGUUGCGCUGGGACCCGAAAGAUGGUGAACUAUGCCGGAGUAGGGCAAAGCCAGAGGAAACUCUGGUGGAGGCUCGUAGCGGUGCUGACGUGCAAAUCGCUCGUCGAACUUGGGUAUAGGGGCGAAAGACUAAUCGAACCAUCUAGUAGCUGGUUCCCUCCGAAGUUUCUCUCAGGAUAGCGGGCCGACUGAUGUUGUUUUGUGCGGUAAAGCGAAUGAUUAGCGCACUCGGGGACGGUUUGUCUCUGGGCGAUUCUCAAACUUUCAAUGCGCAAGGGUGCCGCUGCUUUGUUGAGCGGCACCGACAAAAACGUCGGCCCUGUGGGCCACUUUUGGUAAGCAGAACUGGCGAUACGGGAUGAACCGUAAGCGUGGUUAAGGCGCCUAACUGCCCGCUUAGAGACCCCACAAAAGGUGUUGAUUCAUCGAGACAGCAGGACGGUGGCCAUGGAAGUCGGAAUCCGCUAAGGAGUGUGUAACAACUCACCUGCCGAAUGAAUUAG
rnacentral:rRNA from 1 species